AUAGGAGACAUAAAUAGAAAACUACUAAGUUGCCAUUUAUCACCAUUUAUCAUCAUUGAUGCCAGACUGCAGUUUGACAUGAACUAAGAAAAUCAGAUGUUUCACUUACAGACAUGGCUAUUUUCAGCAUUUCCUCAGCAUCUUGGAGGCAUCUGGACACAAGGGUAGAAACAAUAAUGACCAUUUAACCAUUCCAGAGUCCUUCUAGAAACACAAUGGCAAAAAAAGGCACUGGAUACAGUAGGAAGAGUUCGGAAAUUUAUACUGGCUUUAACAGUGAGCAUUAAGUAUGCACUUCUGAAGGUUACAGUUAGCUCAAGAACAGGAGUCUCAAUGGAGAAGCCCAUGUGCAAGUCCAGUCUUAAGAUUUAUACUUUUUAAGUAAUUUUGUCUCGCUGAACUCAAUUAUGUGCAUUAAGAAAUACAUCUGAAAAAACAUACUGAAAAUAAAAAACAAAUACUUCA